rnacentral:piRNA from 1 species
UGUCACAGCCGAAUUUAACCUGUGCCAA